GCCGGUGUGGCGGAAUGGCAGACGCAGCGGAUUCAAAAUCCGUCGCCCCCAGGGGCAUGAGAGUUCGAGUCUCUCCACCGGCA
rnacentral:tRNA from 1 species